AUCUCCCGUUGAUAAAAAUCCAAUCCAACAUCUGAGAUCAAAUUUCUCAACUCCUUUUCUUUUUUUAACGAAACAAGAAACCUACUCUCAUUUCCACCAAAAACAUCCGCCUCUCUCCCUAUCUUCUCUCUCUUCCCACUCUCUACACUUCCUCUCUCUCUAAAACCAAAACAACUGAUGCCGCCUCCACCACCUUCACCCUCGACCACCUUUAAGCCGCUUUUCUCCUCCCGUCACCAUUACCCCUUCUGCCACCAGCGAACUGAUUUGCCCUGAUCGUAAUAGUGACUUUGUCGAAGAAUUAGAAGACCCCGACCCAAUCCCCAAUUUGACCCGCUUGCCCGAACCGUUUGCCUCCAUGUUGAGUAACAUUUUCAUUGCAUAACUCGUGUCUGGUUUGUUGGUUUGAGUUACCAACCGAUGAUCCUGAGUACGAGAAUAGGGAGAAGGAGAAUUAUGGGAACGCGAGUGAUGGUAGGUCGGGUUCUAGAAUAAGGUUUGCUACUGUGUCGCUGCCGUGGCCAUUUGGGAUGUUUGGAUCAGCUUCAUACUCUAGCCAGAGGGGAGGAUCUGUCUCGUGGACAACGGGACAGGGAGUCGAAUUAGAAUGAGUUUGAAAGAAAGAAACAAGAAAUAUUAGCUGCUCAAAGUGCAUCAGCUGUGGAUGGAGAAACUAAUUCAGCUAGUCAGCCGACUCAGUUAAGUGAAAUAGAUAUCUGGGUGCAAUCUGUUGGUGGAAAGAAAAAAGGAAGAGUCAAAGGUCUUGGCUCCUUGGAUCGAAGUGUAAAGGCAACUAAUAGUUCAACAUCAACUUGGCCAAAAGAAAUUGAUGAGAUGAUUAAGUCUUUAAACAUUUUGUUUUGGACCAUUUAAUGUAAUGGAUGUUUUGAAUUAUGUUUUUUCUUAGUUGUAAUGGUUUACAUUAAACUUGUUUUGAAUGAUGUUUUUGAGAAUUAUUGAAGGUUUUAAAUAGAUUUUUGAUUAAUUGUGAAA